AUUGAACGCUGGCGGCAGGCCUAACACAUGCAAGUCGAGCGAGCGGCGGACGGGUGAGUAAUGUAUGGGGACUGCCCGUUAUAGGGGGAUAACUCCUGGAAACGGUAGCUAAUACCGCAUACUACCGCAUAAUCCAUAUGGGAUUAGCUAGUAGGUGAGGUAAUGGCUCACCUAGGCGACGAUCCCUAGCUGGUCUGAGAGGAUGAUCAGCCACACUGGGACUGAGACACGGCCCAGACUCCUACGGAGGCAGCAGUGGGGAAUAUUGCACAAUGGGCGCAAGCCUGAUACAGCCAUGCCGCGUGUAUGAAGAAGGCCCUAGGGUUGUAAAGUACUUUCAGUCGGGAGGCGUUACCGACAGAAGAAGCACCGGCUAACUCCGUGCCAGCAGCCGCGGUAAUAC
rnacentral:rRNA from 1 species